rnacentral:rRNA from 1 species
UGGGGAAUAUUGCACAAUGGGGGAAACCCUGAUGCAGCGACGCCGCGUGAGCGAUGAAGUAUUUCGGUAUGUAAAGCUCUAUCAGCAGGGAAGAAAAUGACGGUACCUGACUAAGAACGCCCCGGCUAACUACGUGCC